rnacentral:rRNA from 1 species
GACAGAGGUGCCGAGCGUUAGGCGGAAUCACUGGGCUUAAAGCGUGUGUAGGCGGAUGCCUAAGUACCUUGUGAAAUCCCACGGCUUAACCGUGGAACUGCUUGGUAUACUGGGUGUCUUGGGUCACUCAGGGGCGAGCGGAACAAAUGGUGGAGCGGUGAAAUGCGUAGAUAUCAUUUGGAACGCCAAUGGUGAAAACAGCUCGCUGGGGGUGCACUGACACUGAGACACGAAAGCCAGGGGAGCGAACGGG